AAAAGCUCGUAGUUGGAUCUCAGUUAGGGACGGACGGUCCGCCUACCGGUGGUCACUGUCCGAUCUCAACACCAGCCGGUUUCUCUAGAUGAUCUUCACCGGUUGUCUUGGGUGACCGGCAAGUUUACUUUGAAAAAAUUAGAGUGCUCAAAGCAGGCGUGACGCCUGAAUAAUGGUGCAUGGAAUAAUGGAAUAGGACCUCGGUUCUAUUUUGUUGGUUUUAGGAACACGAGGUAAUGAUUUAGAGGGACAGACGGGGGCAUUCGUAUUGCGACGCUAGAGGUGAAAUUCUUGGACCGUCGCAAGACGAACUACUGCGAAAGCAUUUGCCAAGAAUGUUUCCAUUAAUCAAGAACGAAAGUUAGAGGUGCGAAGGCGAUCAGAUACCGCCCUAGUUCUAACCAUAAACGAUGCCAGCUAGCGAUCCGGCUGUGUUCCUCAAAUGACACGCCGGGCAGCUUCCGGGAAACCAAAGCUUUUGGGUUCCGGGGGAAGUAUGGUUGCAAAGCUGAAACUUAAAGGAAUUGACGGAAGGGCACCACCAGGCGUGGAACUUGCGGCUCAAUUUGACUCAACACGGGAAAUUUUAUCCGGCCCGGACACAGGAAGGAUUGACAGAUUAAGAGCUCUUUCUUGAUUCUGUGACAAGUGGUGCAUGGCCGUUCUUAGUUGGUGGAGUGAUUUGUCUGGUCAAUUCCGAUAACGAACGAGAUUCUAGCCUGCUAAAUAGACGUUCCGAUCCUUCUCAGUCGGACGUUCUUCUUAGAGGGACAGGCGGCGUUCAGCCGCAUGAGACAGAGCAAUAACAGGUCAUUGAUGCCCUUCGAUGUUCGGGGCCGCACGCGUGUUACAUUGAAGGAAUCAGCGUGUGCUUUCCCUGUCCGACAGGACUGGGUAACCCGUUGAAACUCCUUCGUGCUGGGGAUAGGAAUUUGCAAUUGUCUUCCUUGAACGAGGAACGCCUAGUAAGUACGAGUCAUUAGCUCGUGUUGAUUAUGUCCCUGCCCUUUGUGCACACCGCCCGUCGCUGCUAGCGAUGAAUGGUUUAGUGAGGUCUCCGGACUGGUGCCCGUACUGGACUUCGGUCCGAGACGGCGUGCUGGAAAGAUGACCAAACUUGAUCAUUUAGAGCUCGCAAAAGUCGUAACAAGGUUUC
rnacentral:rRNA from 1 species